CGAAUCGCAUGGCCUUGCGCCGGCGAUGGUUCAUUCAAAUUUCUGCCCUAUCAACUUUCGAUGGUAGGAUAGUGGCCUACCAUGGUUUCUACGGGUAACGGGGAAUUAGGGUUCUAUUCCGGAGAGGGAGCCUGAGAAACGGCUACCACAUCCAAGGAAGGCAGCAGGCGCGCAAAUUACCCAAUCCCGACACGGGGAGGUAGUGACAAUAAAUACUGAUGGAGAGCUCUUUUGGGUUUUCUAGUUGGAAUGAGUACAAUUUAAAUUUCUUAAUGAGGAACAAUUGGAGGGCAAGUCUGGUGCCAGCAGCCGCGGUAAUUCCAGCUCCAAUAGCGUAUAUUAAAGUUGUUGCAGUUAAAAAGCUCGUAGUUGAAACUCAGGCCUGGCUGGCCGGUCCGCCUCACCGCGAGCACUGGUUCGGCCGGGCUUUUUCCUUCUGGGGAGCCGCAUGCCCUUCACUGGGUGCGUUGGGGAACCAGGACUUUUACUUUGAAAAAAUUAGAGUGUUCAAAGCAGGCAUAUGCUCGGAUACAUUAGCAUGGAAUAAUAGAAUAGGACGUGUGGUUCUAUUUUGUUGGUUUCUAGGACCGCCGUAAUGAUUAAUAGGGAUAGUCGGGGGCAUCAGUAUUCAAUUGUCAGAGGUGAAAUUCUUGG
rnacentral:rRNA from 1 species